rnacentral:rRNA from 1 species
CCUACGGGUGGCAGCAGUGGGGAAUAUUGCACAAUGGGGGAAACCCUGAUGCAGCGACGCCGCGUGAAGGAAGAAGGAUUUCGGUAUGUAAACUUCUAUCAGCAGGGAAGAAAAUGACGGUACCUAACUAAGAAGCCCCGGCUAACUACGUGCCAGCAGCCGCGGUAAUACGUAGGGGGCAAGCGUUCUCCGGAUUUACUGGGUGUAAAGGGAGCGGAGGCGGUAAUGCAAGUCAGAAGUGAAAGCCCGGGGCUCAACUCCGGGACUGCUUUUGAAACUGUGUUGCUAGAUUGCAGGAGAGGUGAGUGGAAUUCCUAGUGUAGCGGUGAAAUGCGUAGAUAUUAGGAGGAACACCAGUGGCGAAGGCGGCUUACUGGACUGUAAAUGACGCUGAGGCUCGAAAGCGUGGGGAGCAAACAGGAUUAGAUACCCUGGUAGUC